CCUUUCCCUUUCCCUUUCCCUUUCCCUUUCCCUUUCCCUUUCCCUUUCCCUUUCCCUUUCCCUUUCCCUUUCCCUUUCCCUUUCCCUUUCCCUUUCCCCUCCUCCUCCUCCUCCUCUUCCUCCUACUCCUCCUGCACCUCUCGUCCUCCUCCUCCUCGUCCUCCUCCUCAUCCUCCUUCUCGUCCUCCUUCUCCUCGUCGUCCUCGUCCGCCUCCUCCUACUCGUCGUCCUCCUCCUCAUCGUCCUCCUCCUCCUCGUCCUGCUCCUCCUCCUCGUCCUCCUUGUCCUCGUCCUCGUCCUCUUCCUCCUCCUCAUCCUCGUCCUCCGCCUCCUCGUCCUCCUCCUCGUCCUCCUCCUCCUUGUCCUCCUGCUCGUCCUCCUCGUCCUUGUCCUCCUCGUCAUCCUCGUCCUCCUCGUCCUCGUCAUCCUCGUCCUCGUCCUCCUCCAGGUCCUCCUCCUCCUCCUCGUCGUCCUCCUUGUCCUCGUCCUCCUCCUCGUCCUCCUCCUCGUCCCCCUCGUCCUCGUCCUCCUUCCUUGUCCUCGUCCUCCUCGUCCUCCUCCUCCUCGUCAUCGUCCUCCUCCUCCUCGGCCUCCUCGUCCUCCUCGUCCUCCUCGUCCUCCUCGGCCUCCUCCUCCUCCACGUGGUCCUCGUCCUCGUCCUCCGCCUCCUCGUCCUCCUCCUCGUCCUCCUCCUCCUUGUCCUCCUGCUCGUCCUCCUCGUCCUUGUCCUCCUCGUCAUCCUCGUCCUCCUCGUCCUCGUCAUCCUCGUCCUCGUCCUCCUCCAGGUCCUCCUCCUCCUCCUCGUCGUCCUCCUUGUCCUCGUCCUCCUCCUCGUCCUCCUCCUCGUCCCCCUCGUCCUCGUCCUCCUCGUCCUCCACUCCUCCUCGUCCUCCUCCUCCUUGUCCUCCUGCUCGUCCUCCUCGUCCUUGUCCUCCUCGUCAUCCUCGUCCUCCUCGUCCUCGUCAUCCUCGUCCUCGUCCUCCUCCAGGUCCUCCUCCUCCUCCUCGUCGUCCUCCUUGUCCUCGUCCUCCUCCUCGUCCUCCUCCUCGUCCCCCUCGUCCUCGUCCUCCUCGUCCUCCUCCUCGUCCUCCUCCUCGUCCUCAUCCUCCUCGUCCUCCUCCUCCUCCUCCUCGUCAUCCUCCUCCUCCUCCGCGUCCUCGUCCUCCUCGUUCUCGUCCUCCUCGUCCUCCUCCUCCUCCUCGUCCUCCUCCUCCUCCUCGGGGGGGGGGGGGGGGGGGGGGGGGGGGGGGGGGGGGGGGGGGGGGGGGGGGGGGGGGGGGGGGGGGGGGGGGGGGGGGGGGGGGGGGGGGGGGGGGGGGGGGGGGGGGGGGGGGGGGGGGGGGGGGGGGGGGGGGGGGGGGGGGGGGGGGGGGGGGGGGGGGGGGGGGGGGGGGGGGGGGGGGGGGGGUCCUCCUCCUCGUCCUCGUCCUCCUCGUCCUCUUCCUCGUCCUCCUCCUCAUCCUCCUCGUCCUCGUCCUCGUCCUGGUCCUCCUCCUCGUCCUCGUCCUCCUCGUCCUCCUCUUCCUCCUCCUUCUCGUCCUCCUCGUCCUCGUCCUCGUCCUCCUCGUCCUCGUCCUCGUCCUCGUCCUCCUCCUCGUCCUCCUCAUCCUCCUCAUCCUCCUCGUCCUCCUCGUUCUUGUCCUCCUCCUCCUCAUCGUCCUCCUCCUCCUCCUCAUGCUGUCUUCGUGUUAUCUGUCCUUUAUUUGUUCUAGGUAUGAUCUCAAGGUGGACUGGAGUUUCUCUGGUCAGAGUAUGGGGGAUUUUCCUUGACACUUCAGCACCUGUGCAGUGUGUGAUGUCUCUUUGGCCUUUGGGUGGGCACUAUGCAAACUGGACUGACACAUUCUUCACUGAAUCCUUUCAAGGCUCCAGCUCUGCUCAGUGAAAAAAUUAUGGUGUUUGCAGUUAGGACAAACGGAGAGUCAGGAUGCUUUGGCACAAAGGAAUGAAGAAACAGACGUAUCUUAAGUCAUGUGUGGUUCAGAUCUGCGAGGCUGAAAUCCUCAGCACAGCAAGUGCCCGUGUUAUCAGUGAUAAGGGAUGCAACCUUACCUGGAGGAAACAUUACUACUCUUGUCUUGGCCAUGGAAAAGAUGAAACCUGGAUGAGUCAUUUCACAUCUCUGUUUCCUUUCCUCCCGCCAUUGGACUCAUAACAGCAGGGUUUGUCAUUCAUGGCACACAUUCCUAGCUUAGUAAAGCUUUGCUGUUUGGUGUCAACUCAUGCUGUAAUUGUGAUAGCAUCCAACACAGCAAUCCAGUGAUCCUUUCCAGUCAUCAGCAUACAGCCAUACUUGGUAGGGUUAAAUAAAACUGAGAUCCAGACACAUUGUGAGGGGGCUGGAGCACAGCAACACUCUUUGAGUGUUACUUUUAAUAAAAUUGCCCUUUCUUUCUCUUACUCCUCCUCUUCCUCCCUCAGAUGAUGAUGACAUUGAUUUAUUUGUCUUACUUCUAUAGUUAGCAAACAUGAUUACUGAGCCAAAUUAAAAAUAAAGCAGCAACCCUUCUCUGUUCUAACACUGUGAGAGCUGUUUCUGCUGAAGCUUUGAAUUGCAGAAAGGGUAUCAAGUCCUACCCCUAACUGGGGAGGUUGUGCUCCAGAUCGACACUCUCUGGAAUAAGUGGCAAUUUUUAUCCUCUUUCUCUCUUUUGUUGACUUCAGGCAUAUGAUCAUUAAUGUCACCUUGGUUAAAGAGUGAAAUCCCAUUUCCAUGGAAACAUGGGGAAAUGC
rnacentral:lncRNA from 12 species